CAUAAAUAUAAUUUGUUUCAUUAAGCUUGCAUUGUGCUGCCAGUUAAUUAACCCGUUAUGCCAUCUUCUUUCCGUGUUCCUGUGGUGCUCCUCGGCGAACUCAGCCUCAGGCAUCAGAGAUGAGCUCCUUCCCGAGCUGUGGAGUAUGUGGUUUUCUAUUUUUAUCGAGAGUUUAGACUGCUUGUCCAGGAGAAGUAAUUGUUUCAAUUCAUUUGCAAAACCUGAUGAUUUUUAGGACAGAAACUUGGACCUGGUUUAGUUAUGCCAUCUUGAAUGUGACAGGAGGCUGAGGAACUCGCGGUCAUUGCAUCCAGGUGGAGCAUAGAGUUAGAUAGCUGCCAUCAUGGUAGCAUCUCAGCAGGGCUUCUUCAUUGACAGGAAAUCGUCAUGCAAAUUCUUAUUGUCCAUUCAGUUUUAUGAAACCAAGCCUAAUCUGCUAGUGAUGUUGCCUUUUUUUAACUCUUGUAAUAAUACUGUACAAGUGAUGUACACACGGCACUUGUGCCAUUAUUGGUGACCAAAAUGCUAAUUUGAUGCUUGGUUGCAAGUAAUUUCAUUGUGUCCACACUA